UGAAUCAGAUGAAAAGGCUAUUAGGGU
rnacentral:piRNA from 1 species